rnacentral:rRNA from 1 species
GAUGAACGCUGGCGGCGUGCCUAAUACAUGCAAGUCGAGCGAACAGACGAGGAGCUUGCUCCUCUGACGUUAGCGGCGGACGGGUGAGUAACACGUGGAUAACUUACCUAUAAGACUGGGAUAACUUCGGGAAACCGGAGCUAAUACCGGAUAAUAUAUUGAACCGCAUGGUUCAAUAGUGAAAGACGGUUUUGCCGUCACUUAUAGAUGGAUCCGCGCCGCAUUAGCUAGUUGGUAAGGUAACGGCUUACCAAGGCAACGAUGCGUAGCCGACCUGAGAGGGUGAUCGGCCACACUGGAACUGAGACACGGUCCAGACUCCUACGGGAGGCAGCAGUAGGGAAUCUUCCGCAAUGGGCGAAAGCCUGACGGAGCAACGCCGCGUGAGUGAUGAAGGUCUUCGGAUCGUAAAACUCUGUUAUUAGGGAAGAACAAAUGUGUAAGUAACUAUGCACGUCUUGACGGUACCUAAUCAGAAAGCCACGGCUAACUACGUG